GACGAACGCUGGCGGCGUGCUUAACACAUGCAAGUCGAACGGAAAGGCCCUGCUUUUGUGGGGUGCUCGAGUGGCGAACGGGUGAGUAACACGUGAGUAACCUGCCCUUGACUUUGGGAUAACUUUAGGAAACUGGGGCUAAUACCGGAUAGGAGCUCCUGCUGCAUGGUGGGGGUUGGAAAGUUUCGGCGGUUGGGGAUGGACUCGCGGCUUAUCAGCUUGUUGGUGGGGUAGUGGCUUACCAAGGCUUUGACGGGUAGCCGGCCUGAGAGGGUGACCGGCCACAUUGGGACUGAGAUACGGCCCAGACUCCUACGGGAGGCAGCAGUGGGGAGUAUUGCACAAUGGGCGGAAGCCUGAUGCAGCAACGCCGCGUGCGGGAUGACGGCCUUCGGGUUGUAAACCGCUUUCGCCUGUGACGAAGCGUGAGUGACGGUAAUGGGUAAAGAAGCACCGGCUAACUACGUG
rnacentral:rRNA from 1 species